GUUCUACCUUGACGAAUUGUAGUUUAAAGAAGUGUUUUCUGCUGGAGUUUUGGUAAAAGUUCUUUGGAAUAGGACAUCAUAGAGGGUGAGAAUCCCGUAUUUGACCAUUAUUUCCAGCUUUGUGAUACACUUUCAAAGAGCCGGAUUGUUUGGGAAUGCAGUCCAAAAUGGGUGGUAAAUUUCAUCUAAAGCUAAAUAUUGGCGAGAGACCGAUAGCGAACAAGUACCGUGAGGGAAAGAUGAAAAGAACUUUGAAAAGAGAGUUAAACAGUACGUGAAAUUGUCAAAAGGGAAGCGUUUGACACCAGUGUUGUUUUCUCGAAAAUCAAUUAAAAAAGACUGGAUUUUGUGUUGUAUUGACUUUAUCAGCUUUCUGCACUCUUUUCUUGUCUUUUUU
rnacentral:rRNA from 1 species